rnacentral:rRNA from 1 species
UGGGGAAUAUUGCACAAUGGGCGUAAGCCUGAUGCAGCCAUGCCGCGUGUGUGAAGAAGGCCUUCGGGUUGUAAAGCACUUUCAGCGGGGAGGAAGGCGUUAAGGUUAAUAACCUUGGCGAUUGACGUUACCCGCAGAAGAAGCACCGGCUAACUCCGUGCCAGCAGCCGCGGUAAUACGGAGGGUGCAAGCGUUAAUCGGAAUUACUGGGCGUAAAGCGCACGCAGGCGGUCUGUCAAGUCGGAUGUGAAAUCCCCGGGCUCAACCUGGGAACUGCAUUCGAAACUGGCAGGCUAGAGUCUUGUAGAGGGGGGUAGAAUUCCAGGUGUAGCGGUGAAAUGCGUAGAGAUCUGGAGGAAUACCGGUGGCGAAGGCGGCCCCCUGGACAAAGACUGACGCUCAGGUGCGAAAGCGUGGGGAGCAAACAGG